rnacentral:lncRNA from 1 species
GGAGAAUUUGGCUAUCGAUUGUGAGAUCCUGUGGAGAAGAAGAUUAUGCGUAGCUGUGAUGUUGUUUUCUUGGAAGAUCAAACGAUCGAUGACUUCGAGAAACCUAACAAGCCAAAGUCAACCCCGAGCAGCCCUAUAGACUUUUGCCCAGAUACAUCCCCAAGGAGCCUUGAUGAUGGGUGAGCAACUGUAGAUGACAGUACAAAUGACAGUCACAAAGCUGAGGAGAGUGCGGGUGGUGUUCAAACGGAGGCACACACUGAACCAUCUGUACAAGAGAUUCAGAGAUCCACAAG